rnacentral:ribozyme from 1 species
UCUGACCGUUGCUCUGCACAACAUCCAUAAGACUGACGCUAGUCUUCGCCAUGAGCACAUCUUUCGUGACAUUC